GUUGAAACAUCAGUUCACGUACGAUCACCGAAGUUAAGCUAUAUCGAGCCUGGUCAGUAUCUAGAUGAGUGACUUCUUGGGAAUACAAGUUGUUGUAA